UAGGGAAUCUUCGGCAAUGGGGGGAACCCUGACCGAGCAACGCCGCGUGAGUGAAGAAGGUUUUCGGAUCGUAAAGAACUGUUGUUAAGGAAGAACGAGUGUGAGAAUGGAAAGUUCAUGCUGUGACGGUACUUAACCAGAAAGGGACGGCUAACUACGUGCCAGCAGCCGCGGUAAUACGUAGGUCCCGAGCGUUGUCCGGAUUUAUUGGGCGUAAAGCGAGCGCAGGCGGUUAGAAAAGUCUGAAGUGAAAGGCAGUGGCUCAACCAUUGUAGGCUUUGGAAACUGUUUAACUUGAGUGCAGAAGGGGAGAGUGGAAUUCCAUGUGUAACGGUGAAAUGCGUAAUUAUAUGGAGGAACACCGGUGGCGAAAGCGGCUCUCUGGUCUGUAACUGACGCUGAGGCUCGAAAGCGUGGGGAGCGAACAGG
rnacentral:rRNA from 1 species